rnacentral:tRNA from 2 species
UGCCGGGUAGUGUAGCGGCAACACAUCAGACCUUGGUUCUGACAUCGCGGGUCCGAAUCCCGCCCCGGCAACCA